CCGCCGCCGCCGCCGCCGCCCCCCUCCAGCGCGCGGCGAGAGACGCUCGAUUUGCUCUCGUUUCUCCCUCUUCCUGCACUCGCCUCAGCCGCCCGCCGAAGUCACCGCACAGCGCUCGCGAGGAAGCGGGCGCGCUCUGCACGCGCACAGUUUUGGCGCCACCGGGCCGACGUGAAAUACCUUGGGGGGAGCGGACCAGAAGAUGGCAGUGAUAACAAAGGGUAGCGGCGCUGACUGGGAGGAAGCAGCUCCGCGCGACGCUCAGGGCUGACAGACCAUGGCGGCCCGGCUGUUCACGCACAGACCUGAGGAACACAGCGACUCUCCUGCACUUAUUAACAUGCAGCCGCAGCCAGAGAAAAAUAAAAGUACUAGAAAUAUACCCCCAGUGCAACACUCAAGAUGCCCGUGUUUGUUUAGCGAGUUCAUUUCUGGACGCACCACGAAAUACACUGCUACAGCAACCUGGAGUUGUGCUGAUUUUCUGCCUCAGACACAGAACCAACAUUUCAUAUACGCACAUAAUUAUAUAGAUGUAUAGAUUUAAAACUGUACAGUGAAAACAUUUGCUUUAUUGUAUCUGAGACUGAACACACAUCUGACAACGUACAGUCUACAUGCAGUAAUACUUUGGGGUGUUUAAACCCAUAACGUUAAAAAACUUAAGAAAUAGGAUCAAAUUAAUGUUAGAAAUUGGCAACAUUCAGUCGCAUUAUGAUUCCGCUCUACAUGACCAAAAGUUUGGAAUGUCAACAUCGUUACAAAACUUCAGCGAGUCUUUGACUGUGUUGUCCCCAUCCUUAAACAAAAU